AACGCACAUUGCGCCCAUUAGUAUUCUAGUGGGCAUGCCUGUUCGAGCGUCAUUUCAACCCUUAAGCCUGUGUUGCUUAGUGUUGGGAACCUACAGUUCGCUGUAGUUCCCCAAAGUUAGUGGCGGAGUCGGUUCCAAACUCUAGACGCAGUAAACUUGUCUCGUCUGCAGUUAAGCCGGUCUUCUUGCCGUAAAACACCCCAAUAGUUAAAAGGUUGACCUCGGAUCAGGUAGGAAUACCCGCUGAACUUAA
rnacentral:misc_RNA from 1 species